rnacentral:rRNA from 1 species
UCGCCUGUUUAUCAAAAACAUCGCCUCUUGCUAACAAUGAAGUAUUAGAGGUCCCGCCUGCCCUGUGACAACAGUGUUUAACGGCCGCGGUAUCCUAACCGCGCGAAGGUAGCGUAAUCACUUGUCUUUUAAAUGGAGACCUGUAUGAAUGGCAUAACGAGGACUUAACUGUCUCCUUUUCCUGGUCAAUGAAACUGAUCUGCCCGUGCAGAAGCGGGCAUAUUAACAUAAGACGAGAAGACCCUAUGGAGCUUUAGGCAAAUGAUCAUGUACACCAAACCCUCUCUUCAAUCAAAGCCUGGGGAAACAAACGCUAAUGAUCAACAUGCCUUCGGUUGGGGCGACCGUGGAGGAGAGAAAAGCCUCCAUGUAGAACGGGAAAACCCUUAAACUAAGACAAACAAGUCUAAGUAUCAGAAAUUCUGACUAAAUGUGACCCAGGCCUAGCCUGAUCAACGGACCUAGUUACCCUAGGGAUAACAGCGCAAUCCCCUCCCAGAGUCCAUAUCGACGAGGGGGUUUACGACCUCGAUGUUGGAUCAGGACAUCCUAAUGGUGCAGCCGCUAUUAAGGGUUCGUUUGUUCAACGAUUAAUAGUCCUACGUGAUCUGAGUUCAGACCGG